rnacentral:lncRNA from 1 species
CUGGGCCAAGUCUAAGAAGAAGGCUUUCACUGGCUACGCCAAGCAGUAUGAAAAUGAGGAGGGUAAGAAGAGCAUUCAGGCUCAGCUUGAUAAGAUGAAGAAAUACGCUACUGUCAUCCGUGUUUUGGCCCACACUCAGGUACUUUUGCUUAUUGAAUGUUUGUGUUGACGCUAAUAUCUUCUGCACUCUGUUCUUGCUGACAUUUCUUUGUUGGCUCUUAACUACAGAUCAGGAAGAUGAAGGGAUUGAAGCAGAAGAAGGCACACAUGAUGGAGAUCCAGAUCAAUGGUGGUACCAUUGCCCAGAAGGUUGACUUUGCCUACAGUUUCUUUGAGAAGCAGAUCCCAAUUG